GGUGGGGACAACACAACAACCAAUGAGGGAGAACUUAGAAGGGAGCACUAGCAAAUAAGGGAUGUAUUAGGGAGGGGCUCUAUUUCCUGGUCCAAUCACCCACUGAAAGGAGGAAAAGGAAUUUUUGAAUUUCUGGAAUAAGAGGAGGAGUCAGUGGGUGAUGGACAGGAGCUCAGGGAGUGGUUAACAGAAAAAUCCAUGGCAACAGGGGAGGAGACAACAAACAGACAGCUCUUAUACAUGGGGAGGGGAUAACCGGGGAGGGAGGAGGAUCCCAAGACCGAACCACUUUAAUAAUUGGGGGAAACGAACAUACCAACUCCAACAAAACCAAACAACACACUACAACGCUGUGCUAGCUUGGCUCCAGACUCCUUGUGCUCGCCAGAGCCAGAGCUUCGUUGUUCAGGGUCUGCAAAUGAGGGACAGAAAAAUACAUUUGCUCUCAGAGGUGGGAAAUGGGCUCUCCCAAAGGCAGGGAUCCAUGGGAUGGUAGCUCCCAGCUUGGGUGUUAGCUCUGGGUUGUGAGGUCACCUCGGGACACCCCAAGGAGCAGGAGGCAACUGGAGUUGCUGAUUAAAUCCUGUCGGGGCACAGCACCUGCCUGCCAGCACACCGUGUCCAUCCCCUGCCUGCUCUCAGCUGCAGACAGGGCUGAACCACGAGGAGCAACCAGCAGAGUCCUGCCAGCCCCAGCUCCUGCUCCGGGUCCCCAGCUCCUGGGCCUUUGAGGAAUCUAUGUGGAGGAGCUGAAGAACCAGAGGUCAAGUGGGAUUUGAUGAACUCUGCUCUCCCUGCAAUCCUCCAGCUCUCUGUGGGAGCCUUCCAUCUCCCAGAGGUUCCAGUUUAACUGAAUGGUAGUGGAGAAAGAAGGAAGAAGGCCUGGAAUUCUUCAGGAUGGGUGUUUAGGCAGCCCUGGGCACAAAUCAGCAUUUUUGUACAAAUGCGUGCAGUCCCUCAAGCGCUUGCAAUAGGUGCUAAAUCCCAAUCACCCUUCCAAAAACCCAACCCCGAGGCAUCUCCCAGCUUCCAGCAGCCACACACUGAGAGUGGGGGGGAUAUUCUAGUGGGAGUGAUCGCUGGGGUGGCCCCUGGUGCAAAGCAAAGGGUGUCAGUUCAGGGCAGGGGCUCAGAAAGGGCCGGCACAGCCCCAGGGAUCUGUCGAGGGGGAGAGCUGGAGAGGUAGCUUUGGCGAAGGAUCGUGACAGGUCCGCUGCCGUGAGGGGCACGGAACAAAGGGCUGGAAUUGGGCACCGGGAGGGGACCCCGGGCGGGGAAUGUGGGGAGCUUCAGACUGUGGGCUGGGGGACCCAGGAGGUGCUGCUGGCUCCGGCAGGGCCCCACCAGAACUGGAGCCGUGGGAUGCUGGAAUGGUUUGGGGUGGAAGGAACCUUAAAAGCUCAUCCUGCUCCACCCACUGCAACAGGCAAGGACACCUGCCACUAUCCCAGCUUGCUCCAAGCCCUGUCCACCCUGACCUUGGACACUGCCAGGGAUCCAGGGGCAGCCCCAGCCCCAGCUUCUCUGGCACCCUUUGGCAGGGCCUCAGCACUCUCACAGGGAAGAAUUCCCCAUAAUAGCCAACCUAAACUUUUUCCUUCAAAACAUGGUGAGUCUGCAAACUUCUUUACUAAAUUCUUACUUGUGUUCUGUCAAAACAAACCCUAAAACAAUUCAAAAUACCAACAUGUGUUGUUUUUCCCCGCUCCCUUCCCAGCAAUGUGGCACAAAUUCCAGUGAUGCGAAGAAGCUGGAAGCUGGAUUUCAGACAGUGGAGGCGAUGGCUUAUGCACCAGAGAAGGAGCUACUGAACAUUAAAGGCAUCAGUGAAACCAAAGCUGACAAAAUCCUGGAGAAAUAGAAACAGGAUUCAUAACAGAUUUAUUUGGGGAAUUCCAUACUGAGAAGACACAGCAGUGUCCCAGCCUAGCAGUCACUGGUCAGCUCCCCAUAGACCAUGGUGACAAUGAGGAAAAGCCACAUCCAUGGACACAGAGGGGACCUUCCAUCCAGAGCAACUCCUGGCUGUGGCUGAAAGGUCAGUGAGUGGAAGACAGGAGUAGAUGGACCCACAGCUCAGCUGGAAAAUGUUUUCCACAGGUCCUGGAGACUGAUCUGGCAGGUGUUCCCUUUGCAAAGCUCUGAGGUGUUGCUCCUCUCCCAUCUCUGCCACUCUCUCCCCACAGCUCUCGUGUCAUUGUCUCUUGGCACGAGGUGAUUUCCCUCUCUUGCUGCUGGAAGGGACUGGGAGCUUC